rnacentral:rRNA from 1 species
AGCAGCCGCGGUAAUUCCAGCUCCAAUAGCGUAUAUUAAAGUUGUUGCAGUUAAAAAGCUCGUAGUUGAAUUUCGGGGUUAGUAGGUUGGUCAUGCCUCUGGUAUGUACUGGUCUCACUGAUUCCUCCUUCCUGAUGAGCCGUAAUGCCAUUAAUUUGGUGUUGCAGGGAAUCUGGACUGUUACUUUGAAAAAUUAGAGUGUUUAAAGCAGGCUAACGCCUGAAUACAUUAGCAUGGAAUAAUGAAAUAGGACGUUCGAUCCUAUUUUGUUGGUUUCUAGGAUUGACGUAAUGAUUAAUAGGGAUAGUUGGGGGCAUUAGUAUUCAAUUGUCAGAGGUGAAAUUCUUGGAUUUAUUGAAGACUAACUACUGCGAAAGCAUUUGCCAAGGAUGUUUUCAUUAAUCAAGAACGAAAGUUAGGGGAUCGAAGACGAUCAGAUACCGUCGUAGU